ensembl:lncRNA LINC02395 long intergenic non-protein coding RNA 2395
UAUCCUUCAGACAAAGCCAUAUAUGAUUGAAGGUUAUCAGUACUGUGCUUUUGGAGGAUUCAGAAGAAGUUAUAUCUGAUUGGGAGAUUGAAAAGGAUUGGCCUGAAGGAGAGGUGGUUUUUGAACUGCAUCUUAAAGGAUGAGGAAACUGAGGCUGAGAGGGUAGAGAACUUUGCCUGAGGUCACUCAGCAGGGACCCACCCAUCACAGUAAAUGCCAGCACUGCUGAUGCCAAAACAAUGUUAUUUGUAGGCCCUCGGAAUUUGUGACCUGAAGGAAGAAGAGCAGGGCCGUGGGAAGUAUGUAACCAGUGUCAUGCCCCUGGUCCCAAGGAAGCAGUGGCUUGGUAAAGAGGGGACCCCCGUCAAUAACUCCCUGUAAUUACUGGGCACCCACUCUGAGCUCCUCAGUGGAAUCCUAAGGUUAAUAAGACUGUCUCUAGCCACUGGGGCUCCCAGCCUGGAGUGAGGUAAGAGGAGUGGAGCCGGCUGGGGAGGGAGACGAACACAUACACAGAAGAUUCAGACACACUUGCAAUGUAUUGCUGGGGAUUCUCCAGCAUUGGCAUGAUGGAGAGGGUGGAGAAUCAUUUGACCGCCUCCGCCUAGGAUUGCAGAGUUCAGCUGGCCAUCAUCCACCAGCCGGGGGACUGUGCACAUCAGUUAACCUCUCCUCUCAGGCCUUGAAAAGCACCAGGCUUAGUACACGUUUGUUAAAUGAAUGCACUGCAGUUUUUUUGCUUGUUAAAGGCAGGUAAUAAUAAUGAUAUUGCUGACUAAGGGCUCCCAUCCACUCCCAGUGAGCCCGGUGCCCCCCCGGGCCUCCUCAGUGAGCUGAGGAGGCUCAGCAGUGCCUGCACGUCCCCUCGCCACAAUGUCAUGUGCCACCUCUUCAAAGGAGGGAUGUACCAGCUAGUGGACGUGACCUUGACUGCAAAGGGCGGCACGCAGCUGAUGUAAUGGUCGCUUAAGUGUUCACAAAUGCCUGAACACCCUGUCCUACCUGGUCCUACCUGGAUGCUGGCCUCAGUAAGCUCCUGGGCUCAUUGAAGAUGAACCUAGCAGUAGUAUUUACACCACUUGUUGUGUGCCCACUGUGGGCCCGGCGCCAUGCCGAGUGCUCUAUGGAUGUGAGAUGAGAACACUGAAGCAGUUUUUUCUAAAGAUAGCUGCCUGGCACAGUGGCUCACAUCUGUAGUCCCAGCAUUUGGGGAGGCCAAGGCAGGUGGAUCACUUGAGGCCAGGAAUUCAAGACCAGCAUGGCCAACAUGUAGAGACGGGGGUUUCACUGUGUUAACCAGGAUGGUCUCGAUCUCCUGACCUCGUGAUCUACCCGCCUCAGCCUCCGAAAGUGCUGGGAUUAGAGUGCUGGGAGAGAAAAGCAUACGACAUAGACAGGGAGGUCAAGCUCCACCACGCAGAUGAGGUGCAGGCCACCAGUCUUCCUCUGCCACAUCUCUUUCUGAAAAGGACUUCACAUUCACCCUUGCAAUCCAUGUGGGGACACUGUUGGAUAGGAGGCGUGGUCCCAGCGUGGUCUCCCUGUCUGGGCCUCUGCCUAUGCCAAAUGUUUGCCUUACGCUGCACACUCAAGAGGUUCCAUGUAUACAGAUGGGAAUUCCAGAGCUACAGAAAAGGCAGCAAGCACCAUGAUUUAAGCUAACCAGUGUGGAUUCACACCUUCCUCUCUCUCUAUCAGUGGCAGAACUACCAGCUAGAGUAAGAAGUGGUUGAUCCAGGACCUAAACAUUCUGGAAACUCUUGCCCACUUCUGGGAGAAAUGACCCAAUCCAUAGUACUAAGCACACCUUAACUUUCGUAGGACGCAGGCAAGUUGUCAUACCGUGUGCCUAAAUAUAGAAAAAUGAUCCACUGGACUAAUAAAGUGUUAAAUAAAA